UGUAUUCCUGACAUUGUAGAUGUGGCUGCUGUGUUACAUGUACAUCAGUAGGUGGCAGAGAAGAGAGAUUAUAUCUAUACUCAGUGUUCUGACCUGUGAACAUCUGAAUGAUCAGUAGUCUAACAGU